CUAUGUAUGACCCAUAAGAUCAUCUUUAUCGGUAAUUCUUAGCAAUAUUUCUUAGGUUUAAUAUGGUUAAAAAUAAAUCAGAAAUGCCAAUAUUACUAAGAAUAAACUCUUAACUAAGGGGUUUAAGAAAUCCUAAGAAGCCUCGACGUACUCAAAAAUGGUUGGGUGUAACUUUUAAUAUAAAAGGGAAAAAAUUGCAUUCACUUUCCUUCACCAAUUCUGAGAUGUUCAAUCACCAAUCUCUUUCCCAUGGUAUGUUUGUCUUUAUUUUUCUAUCAAUUUGUCUUUAGUAAUCUGCUGGUCCGAGUAACCGUCGUCUCCGUCACGGCCAUGGGAAGGCGGCGAUUGUAUACAAUAAUGGCCUUGAGCUCACUGAUCACCAGCCAUUUGGACAGACGACUGAACGUUCCUGUAAGCUGGCUGAGGUUGACGAAGCUUGUGAAUUGGUUCUACUCUAAUGAGUUUCCAAACCUUCCAUCAGAUGAACACUGAGGCAAUACUGGAUGAGUUUCAAGCUUUAUGAAUGGUGGUUUGAUUGCGCUCAUGUGUUCUCUGACAACAACAGGGUGGUUAAAUCACCAGAAGCAAAAGCUAAAGAGGGCUUUGACGGUUUUUAAGAUAGUCUGUGAGGAUUUUUUGGUUUUGUAUGAUGUCCUUGCGUUAUCGAUCAAGUAUCUGGGAUGCUAUAGUUCAAUUAAUUCUGGAGUGUUAGGGUGAGAUUUGUUUAUCCACUUUUAUAAAUUUCUUUAAAUUUCUAUAAUAUUUUUCAAAAAUAAGAACUUCAUCAAGAGAUUUACCA